rnacentral:rRNA from 1 species
UACGGGGGGGGCAAGCGUUGUUCGGAAUUACUGGGCGUAAAGGGCUCGUAGGUGGCCGACUCAGUCGGACGUGAAAUCCCUCGGCUUAACCGGGGAACUGCGUCCGAUACUGGAUGGCUUGAGAUCGGGAGAGGGAUGCGGAAUUCCAGGUGUAGCGGUGAAAUGCGCAGAUAUCAGGAAGAACACCAAUGGCGAAGGCAGCUCUCUGGGACGGUACUGACGCUGAGACGCGAAAGCGUGGGGAGCGAACAGG